ensembl:lncRNA
GCAGGCUAGGCAGAGUUUGUUCUCUUAAUGGAGAAUGUAAGGUGUACAAGAGAACAAGCCUAAUGAUUUGAGCAUACUUCAAGCCUCUGCUUGCAAUAUGUCUGCUAACAGCUCAUUGGCCAAAGCAAGUCACACGGUCAACUCCAACAUUGACAGGACAGAGAUAUAUUCUCUGCCUCUCGUGGUAGGAACUACAAAGACACAUGGUAAAGCACACGGAUUCAUGGAGGAGUGAAGAAUCAGAACUAUGAAGAAAUCUACUACAGUUGGACUUUGAGCAAUUCCAAGGUGCGUUUCUUCAUUUAGAAAGAAAUUGCCAACGCCAAUGAUGAACUCACUAUCACCCAUCUCAUGAGGAAUUCAUAACCAGCUGCUUUGAAUGGCUCUCGGCUUUUAUAGGCAUACUAAAGCUACCUUAAACCCAGAGAUGUUCCUGAAAACUGUUGCUUAAUUCGAAAACAAAUUCCUCCAUUAAAAUAACCCUACAGAAUUAAAUCGGUGCCAGAAUGGAAAAGAAGUUCUGAUGAGCCCCUAACCUUGACUGAAAAAUUCCCUCCAAGUGGAGAGAACACAAUUUUGAUAUGUUCCAAAGGGCAGAAAUAAAGAAGAAUUAGACUGAAGGCUUGGGCUUUCUUUUUUUGACCUGCUGUUGAAUGUAUCUAUGACUUUGGGGUAUCUUCUAGUGAGCAGUGGCCAUAUCUUUAUAGUGUGUAACCCUACAUGUAAGUUGCUCCCUCAAUAACUCCUUUCUAGAUGACCCAAGUCAAAAAUUUGACUCUUCCACUCCAGAUGCAAAGGUAGUUCACUGAGAGACUGUUCUAGAACAGCUGAGAUCCUCUAAUGUUCUCAUUUUCCCUCAGGCUUAGGAUUGCUCAUGAUCAUUAGUGAAAUCUUCAGAGCAGAUCCCACCAAAGGGCACUUUCUAUCACAUGGAGUGGUCUCGCCAAGCAAAGAUAAUGCGGCUGGCCAGUAAGAUGUGCUCCAAGUUGUCAUUUUAGGAAUAGUGAUAGGCAAAGACCUUCACCCAGCCUCUCAUCUAGCCCCACUUGUAACCAUCAAUCUCACUUGUGAUGUGACUGGCUGAACUGGCCUGAGUAAAACUAACUAACGUCAAAGAAGAUCACUUCUAUGGGCCCGUUUGGAAAUCAAGGCUUUGACUGCCUAACUCCAACCAACCGAGUUUACUGGCCCAAACCAUCUGUGAAAAUUCCAACAUCAGCACCUAAUAAAGGACAUUUUGUUGAUCUGAUGAGGGGAUCCCUUAAAGGCAGGAUUAUGAAUUACUAUUUCCCUGGUGAGUUGUUUUUGAAAAAACCCAAGCCUCCAGAAGAUGUUAACCAUCUUGGUCUAUUUGUUUUGAAUGUCAGCCAUUAAAGACCACGUGUGCUCUGGAGAGUGGAGAGUGCAGACUUUCCAUAGGAAAAAAGAAAAGGAGUGAGGAGAGGAAAUAACACUCACUGAGCACCUGAUCUGUGCUAGUUAAUUCCACUUAUUGAACCGUUUAAUCUUCGUGGCAACUCUGCAAGUUAAAUAGUA